UGUGUUAAAGUUCACUGCUUAACGGUGAAAAUGCAACGUAUACUGCUAAACUAGGAGUUUGUUGGGAGUGCUGGAAUUCCCGGUGGAGGGGUGAAAUCCGUGGAGAUCGGGAAGAACACCAAGGGCGAAGGCAGGCACUUAAGCAACACUCGACGCUGAGGAACGAAAGCUAGGGUAGCAAAAGGGAUUAGAGACCCCUGUAGUCCUAGCUGUAAACAUUGCUUGCUAGCUGUCCCGCCUUGGGCGGGGUGGCGUAAGCUAACGCGUUAAGCAAGCCGCCUGGGAAUUACGACCGCAAGGUUAAAACUCAAAGGAAUUGGCGGGGGAGCGUACAACCAGUGGAGCAUGUGGUUUAAUUCGAUACAAAGCGUAGAACCUUACCUGGGUUUGACAUGUACCUGCAAGCUCUCGAAAGAGAGUCGCUUUCGAAGGUGGUACACAGCUACUGCAUGGCCGUCGUCAGUUCGUGUCGUGAGACGUUCUCUUAAGUGAGGCAACGAACGCAACCCUUAUCCUAUGUUGUAUUUCAUAGGAAACUGCCUAGUAUAUACUGGGGAGGAAGGAGGGGAUGACGUCAGGUCAGCAUGGUGCUUAUAUCCAGGGCGACACACAUCCUACAAUGGGUGCUACAACGAGUUUGCGAGGCCGCGAGGUUGAGCUAAUCUCUUAAAAGCAUUCAAAGUCCGGAUUGCAGGCUGCAAUUUGCCUGCAUGAAGUUGGAAUUGGUAGUAAUCGUGGGUCAUCAGACCGCGGUGAAUACGUUCUCGCUCCUUG
rnacentral:rRNA from 1 species